rnacentral:rRNA from 1 species
UUCAGCUUGUUGGUGAGGUAAUGGCUCACCAAGACGACGACGGGUAGCCGGCCUGAGAGGGCGACCGGCCACACUGGGACUGAGACACGGCCCAGACUCCUACGGGAGGCAGCAGUGGGGAAUAUUGCACAAUGGGGGAAACCCUGAUGCAGCGACGCAGCGUGCGGGAUGACGGCCUUCGGGUUGUAAACCGCUUUCAGCAGGGAAGAAGCCCUUCGGGGUGACGGUACCUGCAGAAGAAGUACCGGCUAACUACGUGCCAGCAGCCGCGGUAAUACGUAGGGUACAAGCGUUGUCCGGAAUUAUUGGGCGUAAAGAGCUCGUAGGUGGUUGGUCACGUCUGCUGUGGAAACGCAACGCUUAACGUUGCGCGUGCAGUGGGUACGGGCUGACUAGAGUGCAGUAGGGGAGUCUGGAAUUCCUGGUGUAGCGGUGAAAUGCGCAGAUAUCAGGAGGAACACCGGUGGCGAAGGCGGGACUCUGGGCUGUAACUGACACUGAGAGCGAAAGCAUGGGGAGCGAACAGGAUUAGAUACCCUGGUAGUCCAUGCCGUAAACGUUGGGCACUAGGUGUGGGGGACAUUCCACGU